rnacentral:rRNA from 1 species
GACGAACGCUGGCGGCGUGCUUAACACACGCAAGUCGAACGGUAAGGCCCUUCGGGGUACACGAGUGGCGAACGGGUGAGUAACACGUGGGUGAUCUGCCCUGCACUUCGGGAUAAGCCUGGGAAACUGGGUCUAAUACCGGAUAGGACCACUGCCUGCAUGGGUGGGGGUGGAAAGCUUUUGCGGUGUGGGAUGGGCCCGCGGCCUAUCAGCUUGUUGGUGGGGUGAUGGCCUACCAAGGCGCCCACGGGUAGCCGGCCUGAGAGGGUGACCGGCCACGCGGUGACUGAGAUACGGCCCAGACUCCUACGGGAGGCAGCAGUGGGGAAUAUUGCACAAUGGGCGCAAGCCUGAUGCAGCGACGCCGCGUGAGGGAUGACGGCCUUCGGGUUGUAAACCUCUUUCAGCACCGACGAAGCGCAAGUGACGGUAGGUGCAGAAGAAGGACCGGCCAACUACGUGCCAGCAGCCGCCGUAA